AGGUUCGAACCUACGAGGUCACACACAUUAGAGGUUUCUAUCUGAUCUGAUGGCUGGUGAAGAGUCCCACUGGACUGAGACUCUUCGACCAAGAGUCCUAAUACUCAGAGACUCUGUGAUUGAGAAUCAGGAUUCUCUGAUCAUGAGUUUCACAUAUUUUGGGUAUCGGGGUCAAGAGUCCCACUGGUUUGGGACUCUUCGAUCAGGAUUUUAUAUC
rnacentral:lncRNA from 1 species